rnacentral:rRNA from 1 species
UUCGGAUUGCAGUCUGCAACUCGACUGCAUGAAGCUGGAAUCGCUAGUAAUCGCGAAUCAGAAUGUCGCGGUGAAUACGUUCCCGGGUCUUGUACACACCGCCCGUCACACUAUGGGAGUUGGAAGCGCCCGAAGUCUGUGACCUAACCGUAAGGGAGGAGCAGCCGAAGGUGAAGCCAGUGACUGGGGUGAAGUCGUAACAAGGUAUC